rnacentral:rRNA from 1 species
AUGGCUCCAUCCGAAGGAAGAGCGGGCAAUUACACCAACAAAGAUGACAUCUUACUAUGCUAUACUUGGUUGCAAGUGUCGAGGGAUCCAUCCGUUGGAGGUGAUCAAAGUAGAGAUGCUUAUUGGGGGCGGAUGAAAGAACACUUCGAUGCUCACAACGUGAGUGGAAUUGACCGCUCCGAGAGAUCACUUCGGUCCCGAUGGUCGACAAUCAACUCGGAUUGUCAAAAUUGGGCGGCUGCACAAAAGUCGGUUGACAAGUUGAACCCAAGUGGCACAAAUGAGGACGAUAGAGUAAGUGGCAUUUCAUACAUGUUCAUCAUACUUGUUUUUGGUGUCCGAAGUGCUAACUUGCUUUGUUUUCAUGUAGUACAACAUUGCACAAGACUUGUUCAAAGAAGAGGUGAGGACAACCAAGAAGGGGAAGAUCAAGAGAGGAAGGAUCUUUACAUUACCUCAUUGCUAUGA